AGUGUUUGUUCCUGUCUCUCUUUAUCAUUACAGUACCAGGUCUGUCUCCAGGUUCUAUUGCAGGAAUAUGUGUGAUUGUUUUGCUGGUGCCUGUAGCUGCAGCUGCUGUUGUUUUUUACUAUCGCCACAGAAUCUGUGAUCUACAGCAUUUAAUGGGACAAGAACCAGAGAUCUCUGAACAAAUGUUAAAAGAGAAACUGACCACAACUACAUCUUAG
rnacentral:lncRNA from 1 species